rnacentral:rRNA from 1 species
GACGAACGCUGGCGGCGUGCUUAACACAUGCAAGUCGAACGGAAAGGCCCUGCUUUUGUGGGGUGCUCGAGUGGCGAACGGGUGAGUAACACGUGAGUAACCUGCCCUUGACUUUGGGAUAACUUCAGGAAACUGGGGCUAAUACCGGAUAGGAGCUCCUGCUGCAUGGUGGGGGUUGGAAAGUUUCGGCGGUUGGGGAUGGACUCGCGGCUUAUCAGCUUGUUGGUGGGGUAGUGGCUUACCAAGGCUUUGACGGGUAGCCGGCCUGAGAGGGUGACCGGCCACAUGGGAACGGAGAUACGGCCCAGACUCCUACGGGAGGCAGCGGUGGGGAAUAUUGCACAAUGGGCGGAGGCCGGAUGCAGCAACGCCGCGGGCGGGAGGACGGCCUUCGGGUUGUAAACCGCUUUCGCCUGGGACGAAGCGUGAGUGACGGUAAUGGGUAAAGAAGCACCGGCUAACUACGU